rnacentral:rRNA from 1 species
GGAAGUAAAAGUCGUAACAAGGUUUCCGUAGGUGAACCUGCGGAAGGAUCAUUACCUAGAGUUGUAGGCUUUGCCUGCUAUCUCUUACCCAUGUCUUUUGAGUACCUUACGUUUCCUCGGUGGGUUCGCCCACCGAUUGGACAAAUUUAAACCCUUUGCAGUUGAAAUCAGCGUCUGAAAAAACUUAAUAGUUACAACUUUCAACAACGGAUCUCUUGGUUCUGGCAUCGAUGAAGAACGCAGCGAAAUGCGAUAAGUAGUGUGAAUUGCAGAAUUCAGUGAAUCAUCGAAUCUUUGAACGCACAUUGCGCCCCUUGGUAUUCCAUGGGGCAUGCCUGUUCGAGCGUCAUUUGUACCUUCAAGCUCUGCUUGGUGUUGGGUGUUUGUCUCCUGUAGACUCGCCUUAAAACAAUUGGCAGCCGGCGUAUUGAUUUCGGAGCGCAGUACAUCUCGCGCUUUGCACUCAUAACGACGACAUCCAAAAGUACAUUUUUACACUCUUGACCUCGGAUCAGGUAGGGAUACCCGCUGAACUUAAGCAU